CGACCCCAGGUCAGGCGGGACUACCCGCUGAGUUUAAGCAUAUAAAUAAGCGGAGGAGAAGAAACUUACAAGGAUUCCCCUAGUAACGGCGAGCGAACCGGGAGCAGCCCAGCUUGAGAAUCGGGCGGCUGUGCCGUCCGAAUUGUAGUCUGGAGAGGCGUCCUCAGCGACGGACCGGGCCCAAGUCCCCUGGAAAGGGGCGCCUGGGAGGGUGAGAGCCCCGUCCGGCCCGGACCCUGUCGCCCCACGAGGCGCCGUCAACGAGUCGGGUUGUUUGGGAAUGCAGCCCAAAUCGGGCGGUAGACUCCGUCCAAGGCUAAAUACAGGCGAGAGACCGAUAGCGAACAAGUACCGCGAGGGAAAGAUGAAAAGGACUUUGAAAAGAGAGUCAAAGAGUGCUUGAAAUUGCCGGGAGGGAAGCGGAUGGGGGCCGGCGAUGCGCCCCGGCCGUAUGCGGAACGGCUCUUGCUGGUCCGCCGCUCGGCUCGGGGUGUGGACUGUUGUCGGCCGCGCCGGCGGCCAAAGCCCGGGGGCCCUAGGUGCCCCCGGUGGCCGUCGUCGGCACGGCCGGUACCCGCGCGCCGAAAGGCGUGGCCCUCGGGGCACUGCGCCGCAACGGCCUGCGGGCUCA
rnacentral:ncRNA from 1 species